rnacentral:tRNA from 2 species
GGGGGUGUAGCUCAGCUGGGAGAGCACCUGCUUUGCACGCAGGGGGUCAGGAGUUCGAUCCUCCUCAUCUCCACCA